AAAUUAUUGACCAAUAUAAAAUUUCAUCUAUAAUCAAUCAAAGUUGUACAAUUCAAAGAUUUGAACUAUUUUGCUCUAAGGGGGAAAGAAAAGAAUGGUCAUUUAUUAAAAUCCUGAAAUACAAAAGUAUAAUGAUUGUAAUCUAAUCAUAGACCAUUCUAGCAUUUUCAAAACGACACCGUAUUUGGUCACAGCCAAGGAGAGUUGUAAAUGGGGGUUACAACAGACUUGACUUGAAGAAACUUAUGAAGGGCCUCUAAUCCAAAAUCUCUUCCAAAUCCACUCAUCUUAUAUCCUCCAUAAGGACAAUCGUUAUCAAAUGCAAAGUAACAAUUAAUCCAGAUAAUGCCGGCUCGGAUUGAUCUUGAAACUGUGUUAGCCACAUCCAAGUUCUUGGUAACAAUCCCAGCUGCCAAGCCAUACCUUGUAUUGUUAGCACAUUUAAUUGCCUCAUCGAUAGUCUUGAACUUCAUGAGUGCCAUUACAGGUCCAAAAAUUUCAUCCUUUGCUAUGAGCAUAUCCUCCUUAACAUCGCUGAAAAUGGUGGGAUGGAGAUAAUAUCCCUUGUUUCCUGAAGGCUUACCACCUGUUAACAAGGUGGCUCCUUCUCUUUUCCCAUGCUCAAUGUAAGACAGAAUUUUUUCAAAUUGCCGCUUAUCAACCUGUGGACCAAGCUGAGAUUUAGAAUCAAAAGGAUCUGCAAUUACACAGUUUUUUGCCUUUUCCACCAACUUCUUUACAAGUUCAUCAUAAAUCCCUUCCUGAACAUAAACCCGCGAACUUGCCACACAAAUUUCUCCCUUAUUAUACAGGAUGCCGAAAAGGGCAAGCUCUGCAGCUUUAUCUAUAUCAGCAUCGUCAAAAAUUAGGAGAGGUGAUUUUCCUCCUAAUUCAAGUGAAACUUGUUUCAAAUUGCUUUCUGCUGCAGCCUUCAUUACCAUGUGUCCAACUUCUGUAGACCCAGUAAAACUGACCUUAUCAACAUCCAUAUGAGAGGAAAUGGCAGCUCCAGCUGUCGGUCCGUACCCAGUCACAACAUUGAUCACUCCAUCAGGAAUCCCAGCCAGCUUGGAGAGAUGAGCAUAAUAGAGAGCAGAAAGAGGUGUUUGCUCCGCUGGCUUGACAACCAUGGUGCACCCAGCAGCCAAGGCAGGGGCGACCUUCAUGAAGAAAAUGGUGCUAGGGAAAUUCCAGGGGGUGAUAUGGCCCACAACACCAACGGGUUCAAGCAGGGUGUAGCCUUGGAACUCCCUUGACAUCUUCAACACUUCUCCAUGGAUUUUAUCUGCUGCACCUGCAUAGUAGCGAAGGAGGCUUGCUGCGUGAGGAAUGUCCACAGCUUUGCCCGCACUGAACAACUUCCCUGCAUCAAUAGUAUCCAGUGCUGCCAAUUCCUCUACGUUUUCUUCAAUUAAAUCUGCAAAUUUCUGCAUAAUCCUUGCUCUCGCAACACCAGGCAAGCGGGGCCAAGGGCCGUUGUCAAAUGCAUCGCGAGCAGCCUUCACAGCCAAAUCUAUGUCAGCCUUAUCUCCCUCUGCAAUUCUUGCGAUUACCUCUCCUGUUCUUGGGUCUAUUGUCUCAAACGUUUUUCCUGAGAUGGAAUCAACAAAUUCUCCAUUAAUGAACAGCUUUGUAAACUUUAUGGCAGGAAUCUUGAAAAAAGAUUCAUCAGAGGUUCUAUUGCCUUGAAUUGCCAUCGAUCUUUUAUACCUUAAAUUUAGUCAGCUCGGUGCUCUUUGAUCUUCCUUUCUUCUCCUUUUAUUUUAUCAUCAUCCAACACAAUAUUUAUAGACAGGCCAGUG
rnacentral:misc_RNA from 1 species